AUACGGAGGAUGCGAGCGUUAUCCGGAUUUAUUGGGUUUAAAGGGAGCGUAGGCGGGAGCUUAAGUCAGCGGUUAAAUGGUGCGGCUCAACCGUGCCCUGCCGUUGAAACUGGGUUUCUUGAGAGUGCAAGAGGCGGAUGGAAUUCAUGGUGUAGCGGUGAAAUGCUUAGAUAUCAUGAAGAACUCCGAUUGCGAAGGCAGUCCGCUGGGGCACGUCUGACGCUGAUGCUCGAAGGUGCGAGAAUCAAACAGGAUUAGAUACCCUGGUAGUCCGCACGGUAAACGAUGAUUACCCGCUGUCGGCGGUAGACAGUCGGCGGCCAAGCGAAAGCGAUAAGUAAUCCACCUGGGGAGUACGCCGGCAACGGUGAAACUCAAAGGAAUUGACGGGG
rnacentral:rRNA from 1 species